rnacentral:rRNA from 1 species
GACGAACGCUGGCGGCGUGCUUAACACAUGCAAGUCGAACGGAAAGGCCCUGCUUUCAUGGUGCUCGAGUGUCGAACGGGGGAGUAACACGUGGGUGUUCUCUGCUGCUCUUCUGGAUAUGCCUUGGAGACAGUGUCUAAUAUCGGAUAUGGGCCAUUUUGAUGGUGAUGGUUGGAAAGUUUUUUCGGUGUAGGGUGAGCUCGCGGCCUGUUUGUUUGUUGGUUGGGUAAUGGCCUACCAAGGCGGGCAUUGGUAGGCGGCCUGAGAGGGUGGAUGGCCACAUUGGGGCUGAGAUACGGCCCAGACUCCCACGGGAGGGAGAAGUGGGGAAUAUUGCACAAUGGGCGCAAGCCUGAUGCAGCGACGCCGCGUGGGGGAUGACGGCCUUCGGGUUGUGAAAUCCUUUCGCUAGGGACGAAGCUUUUUGUGACGGUAACUAGAUAAGAAGCACCGGCUAACUACGUG